UCCUCACUCUCUGUCUGGGCUCCCAGGGCCUCAGAGACCCUGCUUCACUGCUCUGUCUUCUUACCAUCUUCCUGUGGCUCCUCCAGAGCCAUGGGCUGAGCUAACCAGACCGCUGAGCACCACAGUCAGUCUGCGUCCUUCGUCCUGGCUGCAUCGCCAUGGCUUUAUUUCUCAUUGCCUCCCCCACUUCCCCUUCCCCUUCCCACUGUGAGGGACCUGGGAAGUGGCGUUUACGACCAUGGUUCUGAGUUCUGCUGAAUUUUGAUCUGUUUAUAUGUGCUCUUUGUUAAGUAGACAGCAGCGCCCGGGUUCUCACUGCCUUCUGUCCUCCCCGGGCACCCGCUCAGCAGUGUCCCCACCCAGUCACCACAGCCCUACUCACAGAGCACCUGCACUCUUGUCCCUGUGGCCUGGCUUUGGAGUCACGGCCAGGAGCACAGGGAUGUGACAUGGUCAUCUCAGUUUGCUUCUGAUAUCAACAACGCUGGUCAACUGGCAGAGGAUCCUGGAGAGGAGGAAAUGUCGAUUCACCACCGUAAAGAAAGUCAUUCCCACCUGCCGUAGACAGAAGGGAGCCAAACCUUAAACCAAGCAGAGCGACUUCACCAAAAACUUGAGGGAGCCUGUGUCUGCAAAGGCGCUGAGCCCUGAACCCAGCCCCACCUAGACCCUGCAGGUUUCACAGAUGCCACUCUGUCAUGGGCUCCGUGCAGCCACAUCAGCCCUCCUGACAGUCCUCUCUAUGAACUUGAUCAGAGCCCUGUCUCCCUCCACCAGGCAGGUGGCCCUGGGGACGCCACUCAGUCUCUCACCUUCAGCUCCUUCUCUGUGGACUUGGAAGUGCUGUAGGGUACCUCACUGAGCAAUGGGGUGGGGCAGGGAUGUGCAAGCUUUAACCUCACACCUGCUGGUCAUGA